GUGAGCCGAGAUUUCGCCACUGCACUCCAGGCUGGGCAAUAGAGGGAGACUUUGCCUCAGAAAAAAAAAAAAAAAAAGAAUCACUAACCUGGUUCAGCCUUUUCAUUUGGCAGAUGAGAAAACUGAGGACUCAGAAAUUAAAUAACUUGCCUAAGAUGGUAGAGCUCUCUUCAAACAGAACCAGAAAUUAUGGUGCUACAAAAAUACCUGCUUAUCUUAGAGCCAAAACAUUUCAAUUUUAAAAAAUGGCCUCGUAUGGCAGAUACAUAAGUCAGGUAUGCCACUCCUGGGAUCAUAUCGGAUGGGAGGCAGGAUUAGAUUACAGCUCC
rnacentral:lncRNA from 10 species